rnacentral:rRNA from 1 species
GGACCCGACUGCUAUCUGAGUAGGAAUAAGCCAUGCGGGUCAACAUAGCAAUAUGUGGCAUACGGCUCAGUAACCCGUAGUUAACAUGCCCCGGGGACGUGGAUAACCUCGGGAAACUGAGGAUAAACCGCGAUAAGUCACUACUUUUGGAAUGGGUAAUGAAUAAAAUUUACAUGGCCCCUGGAUUGGAAUGCGGCCGAUCAGGCUGUUGGUGAGGUAAUGGCCCACCAAACCUGUAACCGGUACGGGCUUUGAGAGGAGGAGCCCGGAGAUGGGCACUGAGACAAGGGCCCCGGCCCUAUGGGGGGCAGCAGGCGGGAAACCUUUGCAAUAGGGGAAAGCUUGACAGGGUUACUUUGAGUGAUUUCCGUUAAGGAGAUCUUUUGGCACCUCUAAAAAAGGUGCAGAAUAAGGGGUGGGCAAGUUUGGUGU